ensembl:lncRNA
GCUGUGUGCAAAAUGCCACACUCUUCAAAUUCAUGCCAGCUAUUAUUUUUACGUCCAGUAGGUGUCCUGCUAGAGCAAAUGAAGCUUCAUGAAGCUUCGCGUUGGGGUGAACCAAUUGGAUGAAAAGCUUCAGUGCUUCAUGGGGCUUCAUCUGCCCAUCACUACCAAUCACGCUGCUCCAGGUCUCACCAGCGUUGCCCACAUGAGUGUUGAAGUCUCCCAGCAGGACAACAGGGUCUCAGGUGGAACUACCUCAAACACUCAGUGACUCCAAGAAGGCUGGGUACUCUGAAGCUCCAUUUGGCGCAGAAAAACAUAACCUUGAGCACUUAUGAUGAGCAUUUUUGUUUCCUCAUAAAGAAGGGAUCUAACCACGUUCACAUUAUAUUUUUUGGGUGUCUUAGCAUGUAGGUUUUGAAAAUGAAAAGCAGCUAUGUAACUCGUUUAGAACUGUGCUAAAACCUUAGAAUCUCAGCCAAACACAGAAGAAAAAAGACAGAAACUGGCUUCUCAGUUUCCUCAGUUAUCUUUGAAGUCAGCCAAUAGACUAAUUAUUAUCAGGAGCUAUUGCAGCUAACUAGCCACAUCAGAGCCACUUCUGCCUUUCUGUGUUUCAGCCUCAGUAACAUCUGCUCCACGUUUUACACCUCUGAUGAAAUCUCACAAGUGUAAGUUUAUUUUGAUACCAAGAUUGUUUACACAGAGCUUGUAAUUGCAGAACAAGGAACAAGUUAAUACUGGGCCACUGGUAUAUAAAGAGGUCAGUUGUUACCUUUGGCCUGUCAUGCUCAAACUCUCACAUUUCAAAGACUCUUUAGACUUUGGGGGUUCUUUUGAACAAUCUACAAGAACAUUUGAGAGCUACUGCCUCAAAGUUUGACUGAAGAAUAAGAUUUUUUUUUUUUUUUUUUUUUAAAUUCAACAUGAACUUAUUAGUUUAUAGAAGUGAAAUAGCUGUCACACCAUUCAUGUGACAUGGCCAUAAUGGCAUAGCUCAGCUGCUGUCAGGUAACUAUAGAAAAUGUAAUUUCAAACUUAAUUUCUGUUAUUACUCUGACCCACCUCUAUGCGGCAUUAAUGAAUAACAGCAUCUACCACUCAGAGUUAAUAUUAUUGUAACAUACCAUAGUUUAUGGGGUUUUGAUUUGGAAUUUCAUGGAAAUUUUCUAGGUGUGCACGAUGAAUUCUUUGCGCACGCGGCUGACAAGUUCAACACGCGCGGUUUGUUGAAUUUACGCGCGAGGAAGUUAAUUGCUUUUCCUCACACACAUUCACACUCCGACCAGUGCAUCGGGAGCAGCUUGACCAAUGAUAUUUGGCAUGCAAACUGGAGCUGGUUCGAACAAAGCUUCUGAUUAGUAAACAGCCACACCGGCAUGUAAAACACAUACAAACACUGACUUACAGUUUCACUUCUUUUGAAGAGAUGACGCACAAAAAGUGAAAUACAUUUUGUUUUACAUAUAAAGUUAACAUAAAAUGCGCGCGCGCACACACACACACACACACACCUUGUCAGUUAACUUACCACAUUCGCCUUACUUAUGACAAUUUCCGUCUACUUCGAGGCUUCCACAUGAACGCAGCAGCAUAUUUCCACUCCAGACUAGUGAAAUCCACGAGAAUGUUGGUUGUCAUCAGCAAGAGUCCAUGCUUCCUUAUAAAUUAAUAAUUAGGACUUAUAUUUUCCUCACACCCGCUUCUGUUCAAAGGGAAUUUUGUCGACAGAGUCCGUGUUCCUGCGAACGGCGGUGUACCAAACACGCACGCUGCCUAGGCCACACACUUCAAACAAACACAACAGGAAUGACUCAGCUGCUGCGUUUCCUCUUAACUGUCC